CUUAACCUCGGAGCCAUCUCUUCAGCCACCCCCCUCCCCGGCCACUUUUUAUCUUACAUUUUUACAGGAUCUCACUGUUUCCCAGACCAUAAACUCACUCCAUCUCAGACAAGACCUGGAACUGCUUUUUCACCUCAGCUGGGAUUAUUGGCUUGCACCAAAAAGCCUGUGACCACCUAAAAAGAUCAAGGGAGGCAUAGUAGUUACACUCCUUCAAUCCCAGCACUUGUUGAGUAGAGGCAGGCAGAGUUCUGUGAGUUCGAGGUCACCCUGGUCCGCACAGUGAAUUCCCGGCCAGCUAAAAAAGUCUUCAUUACUUCCUAAAACAUUUUGAAGUAUUUACUCAUUUGUGUAUGAGUGUGUACAUGUGUGGGUGGCUGGGAUAUGCAGGCUCAAAAGAGGGCUUCUGGGGGUUGUGGAUUUAGCUCAGUAGUAGAGCGCUUGCCUAGCAACCACAAGGCCCUGGGUUCGGUCCCCAGCUCCGAAAAAAAAAAAAAAAAAGAGGGCUUCUGGUCUCCUUGAUCAGUCUCUGUUUCCCUUUGAGGCAGGGUCUCUCCCUGAACCUAGGACUCACUUUUUCUCAGGCUAAAACUUAGCAAGCUCUGACUUGAAGCUGGGAUUACAGCAUGCACUGAACUCCUACCUUGUAAUAUGAGUGUUGGGAUCCAAACUCUGGGCCUCGUGAUUACACAGCAGUCACUCGUUACUCUGAGCCGUCUGUCUCCAGUUCCCAGAACGUUUUUAAAGUGGUUUGUGAACAUUUCCUGGCCUUUGGCUAAGGUCAAGUGUAAGAGUGACUUAUGGUAUUGUUUACACAUAUAGGUAAACACUAAAAAUAAUUUAAUUGUAUGUUUAUAAAGUUGUUUAUUUAUUUUUUUUAAGAUUUAUUUUAUGUAUAUAAGUACACUGUAGCUAUCUUCAAACACUCCAGAAGAGGGCAUGAGAUUCCAUUACAGAUGGUUGUGAGCCACCAUGUGGUUGCUGGGAAUUGAAUCAGGACCUCUGGAGGAGCAGUCAGUGCUCCUAACCACUGAGCCAUCUCUCUAGCCCUAUAAAGUUGUUUUUAAAAGCCGUACAAGCCAUUUGUGGUGGGUCAGACUCGUAAUCCCAGUAUUCAGGCAACCAAGAGAAAAUUUUGGAGUUUGAGAUCACUUUGGUCUGCAUUGUGAGUUCUAGGGCAUUCUGCAUUCCAGAUUAAGACUUCUCAAGAAAUUAAACAAACUGGUUAAUCAAUUAAUCGAUCGAUUGAUUGAUUAGUUAACAUACUACAAGGAUUCUUUUCUCCCAGGUCUUCUUCUCUAAAUACCACCUUUAAGAAAAUUAUGCAGUUAUCAGCCAGACACAUACCUUUAAUUCCAGCACUCAGGAGGCAGAGGUAGGUGGAGUUUGAGGCCAGCUUGGUCUACAGAAUUUCAGGGAAACCAGGGGUACACAAAGAAACCGUGUCUUGAAAAACCAAACCAAACAAAACAAAAAAAAACCAGUAAAUUAACAUGGAUGGAUGUUAGCCUGUUCACUAAUCUGUACAUUGCUAGUUUUCAUUACUAGAGGCAAACUAUAUAGAACAGAGGUUUUGUUAGGGACACAAAGUCCAAAUAGCAGGCUGCUGUCCAGGGACUGUGUGUCUAGACCACCGUGCGUGGGGGCAUGUGUCUGUAUAUUCAAAGUUCAUGGAGGAACAUGGACUAUAUUCAGAAUUCCAUAGUCAUCCCAGAAUGUCGCUUUCAGGUCCAUUGUAUUUAGCUGAAAUGUAUGUUUACUUUCCUCCUAAGUAAAACACAAUUCCAUUCCUCAGUCUGGCUGUUUGCUUGUUUUAGUUCAGUUUGUAGGGUUACUUUGUAGCCCCGGCUGGCCUGGAACUUGUGUAAACCAGCUUGUCCUUGAAGGCAUAGAGAUCUGUUUGCCAAUUAAGUGCUGGGAUUACAGAUGUGCAUCACCAUACCUGCCCUUUGUUUUUCAUGAUUUUAACACUGUAUAGUGUCUUUGCAAUCAAUAAUGUAUAUUGGGUGAAGGGGGAUAAGGCAAGGUCUCAUAUAUUAAUGUAGCCUAGGCUGACCCCAUACUAAGGAUGACUUAAACUUCUGACCCUCCUGCUUCCACCGUCCAAACAUUGGGAUUACAGGCAUUUGUUACAGUGCCUGGCUAUAUACAUUGGUUUGGUUUAUUUUAUUUAUUUAUUUAUUAUUUAUUUAAUAAUGUUAAACCAACUUUCCUUUCUUGUUGUAGUUGCUAUUUGGUCAUGGUGUAUAAUUAUUUUGUAUACCUCCAGACUUCAUUUAUUAGUCUUUGUUGAAGAUUACCAACACUUUAAUUUCAAUCUUUAAAGUGUAUUUUAUGCCAUCAUCAUUAAAAUAAAGUCACUAUUGAAUUGGGCAUGGAGUGUACACCUAAAGUCCUGGCACUUGGGACAAAGGCAGGAGGACCACAAAUCCAAAGUCUGUAACUUAGUGAAACCCUGUUUCAAAACACAAAGAAAGAAGCCAACUUGCCAUGCUUGCCUGGUGUGCACAGUGGGAGGAAGAAAGGGCUCUCACUUUGUGGACCACCGUGGCUUCACACCCUCUUGAAGGAACUCAGUCAUGGCUGAAUCUUGUUGUAUCCCAGCUGAGAAUUGAUACCUAAUAAAAGGUGAUUUACUGGUGUCAAACAAACCAAACUCCACAGUUUUGUAAUCUGUGAUGAUGUCACAUGUCUAGACAUAGUGUUCACAGUUGACAAGCUCUGAAGGAAGGCUUUCACCCUGGGACUCUGAGUUUCCGGUUCAUGUGGCCCUGGACACAAACUUCCCCUUUCUGACCCUUAGCUGCUUCUUCAGAAUCUAUUUUUGGUAGUGUGUGCUGUUGUUAUGGCAACCCUUUGUCUUCCUUAUUCUCUCUGGUCUCUCUGUAGGGACCCACCCUUGGCUUUACUUUGUGUGUGUGUGUGUGUGUGUGUGUGUGUGUGUGUGUGUGUGUGUGUGUGUGUGUGUGUAUUUCUUCCUCUCCCUCUUCCCCCCCCUCUCUUUUUCUGUGCCCCCUCCUUCCCAGCACCCUUUCUCUUCUGGAUAGGGUCUUCCAGGCUGAAAUUCACUUUGUAAUCAAGGAUGACUUUGAACUCUUGGUCUUUUGGCCGCUACCUCCUAAGUGUUGGCAUUACAGGGGUUCCCAUUGUGCCUGGUUUUUAUUUGAUGCUGGAGAUUGAACCCUGGGUUUCAUGCAAUUAUGCUUCCGAAUGAGCGACAUCUCUAGCCCAUGCCAUCAUUUCACCAUGAGUCAUAACUUGAGCUGAGCAUUCUCUGCCAGGUAUGGGCUAGGGUCUCCCUGACCCAGGCAGAAUCCCACUUUGGUUCCUUGACUUUCAGACUAAGAGGUAUCAGAGGAAGACAGUCAAAUAGGAUUUGAACUGCUACUUGGUAUAGAGUUUGAGCAUUCCUAGGAAUACACCAGGGACUGAUUCCAGGACACCCUUGCAUGCUGAAAUCUGGAAAUAUUUAAUCUUAUAUAAAACAGGGCUGUGUUUACAUAUAACUUACACACACCCUCCCAUGUCUUUCAGCCAUGUCUAGAUGGCUUAUAAUUCUUAAUAUGCAACACCAACAUUAUGUAAAUACUUUUACUGUUUGGGGGAAAUAAUGACCAGGGAAAGAGCUCUGUAUGAAUCUGAUACAGAUGCAAGUUUCUUUUUCUGAAUGGCUGUCAUUCAAGAUUGGUUGGAUUCUCAGAUCUGGAACCUGUGUGGACAGAAAGUAGUUUCAAAAGUCAUAUUGUAAGCAGGAUGUGGGUGAAGGCAAGAGGAUCAUGGGUUCAAGGCCAGCUUGGGUUACAUGGUGAGACCUUGUUAAUGGCAGAGCUCUGGAUUAGCACACACAGGUCCUGGUUUUGAUCUUCAGUGCCAUUAAAAAAAAAUCAACAAAACAAGACAAAACCCCUGAAACAUUAUUGUAUCAUUAUUGUAUCCAGGAACUUAGAAUCACCCUUGAAGGAUGUAGGGGAUGGGUGGUUCCCAGUAUGAUUUUGCUUGAAGGAUGCAGGGGAUGGGCGGUUCCCAGUAUGACCUUAUUUCUUUCACCAUCUGGCCCCUGUAAGAAAGAAGAAGGCCCUUAUUAGGAGUGGGUUACUGCAGACUCAGCCAAGUGGAUGCCAGCUGCAGGGCUGUGUGUUUAUUUUAAGACAGGGUCAAGCCCAUGCUGACCUUGAGGUUUCUAUGUAGCCGAGGAUGGCCUUGAAUUACUGGUCCCGAUUUAUGCAGUGGAUUCAUGCACGCUAGGCAAACACACUACCAACUGAGUUACACCCUGUUCUGCGACCCCUUUUUUGUUUGGGUGUGGGUUUUGUUUUGUCUUUGAGACAUGGUGUAUCUGUAUAGCCCUGACUGCCCUGGAGCUCAAUAUAAGAUCAGGCUGGCCUCCAACUUGUGACAGUCCUGCCUCUGAGUGCUGGGUUACACCUGUGUGCCACCACAGAUGGCUCAAGACUAGUCUAAUUCACUCAUUUCAGAGGAAACAGACUCUCUAGCAUCUGCUUGGGCCACCAUGCUAACUGAACGGAUGGGCAAGCAAUGCCACCUCCACUGGAGGCUGGGUAAGAAGAAACACAGUGCAGAAGGUGGGGAGCCCUGCACAUAUUCAGGGUCCCGGGCUAGCUCUCUCAGUGAGGUCCGCCUAGCAGUGUCAGAUGACCCCACAAAGGAAAUAUAAGUUACUGGGCUUUUGCUCCCAAUCACUGAAAAUGGAGCAUAAGGCUUGGCCUCUCUGGGUUCAUAUAUGGGAAUCCAGCUAUGACUAACGUAGACACGAGGGAAGGCAGCCAACUGUGAGUGUGGCUCCGAGCAAGAAAGGGCUUUGUGCUAGGCCAGAUGGUGCACACGUCUUUUUUCUUUUGAGAUAGGGUUUCUCUAUGUAGCCCUGGCUGUCCUGGAACUCUCUCUGUAGACCAGGCUGGCCUCAGACUCACAGAUCUACCUACCUCUGCCUACCGAGUGUACUCUGGCAUUCAAGGCCUGCACCACCACUGCCAGGCUGUGGUGCACAAUUUUGAUUGUGAGUUUGGGAGGCAAAGGUGGAAGGAUUUUUUUAAAAAUUAAUUUUAUGUAUAUGGGUAUCUUGUGUGUAUAUGUGUCUGCGCAUGUAGUGCCUGUGGAGGCCAGAAGAGGGCAUUGGAUCUUCUGGAACUGGAAUUUUAGACAAUUGUGAAGCUGCUGUGUGGGUGAUGGGACUUGAACUCAGGUUCUCUGGAAGAGAAGCCCGUGCUCUUCACCACAAAGUCAUCUCUCCAGCCCAAAACAAAGAUUUCCUUUCCCUGCUAUGUAGCCCCAGCUGGCCUGGAACUCAGAGAGGUUCACCUACCUUACCUCCUGAGUGUUGGGAUCCAACUCUUAAUUUAAUCCUAAUAAGUUAAGUUUUGUGUCCGAGCUAAGGAAUGCUUUUCUAACUCUCGGAUCAUCAGGAGUCUCCCGUGUUAUCUUACGAAGCCCCGUGACUGUGUUAGCUUUCCGUUGCCCAGGAAAGUCAGCUUCGCAGCUGGAGCAGACAGCUCAGCUGAGAGCAGUUGGAAGCGUUAGGUUUGACACUCAACACUUCACAGGCCAGUCCUGACGGCACACCCCUGUAUCCUAGUACGAGGAAAGCGGAGGCGGAAGGAUCAGAAGUUUAAGGUCAUCCUCAGUCCAAACAUAAAGAGGGCAGCCUGAAAACCCGAGAUGCUAUCUUUGUUUUAUUUUAUUAAGAAAAGGAGGGGUUGGGGAUUUGGCUCAGUGGCAGAGCGCUUGCCUAGGACAAUGCCAUGACCAAAAAACCUCAGCUAGGCCUACAUACUGUGCUGUAGGGAAGGAACUCCAGCGCGCUGUGUCCUGCUUUCAGUUCCAUUGUCAUCUCCCCUCCCUCCUCCAACUCUCCUUUAAGACAGAGUCUCACUGUAGUCAUGGCUGUCCAGGAACUCCCUAUGUAGUCAGGUUGACCCGGAACUCACAGAGAUCCACCUGCCUUUUCCUGCAGAGUACUGGGACUGAAAGCUUGCACCGCCAUGUCUGGCUCUGUUUCUCUCUCUCUUAGAUUUAUCAUCAACAAUGGAUAUGCAUAUGGGUAUCUGCACACGAGUGCACAGGCCAGAGGUGUGGGAUCUCCCUGGGGCUAGAGUUACAGGUAUCUGUGAGCCUUUCAAUGCAGUUGCUGGGAACCCAACUAGGGUCCUCCAUAGGAGCUGUAAGCACUCUUAUACACUGAGCUGUCUGUCCAUCCCCUUUCUUUGUGUAUGUGCAUAGCUGGGUGUGUGCUCAGGUCCCCACAUGUGCUAAACAAGCACUCUGCCACUGAGCUGCACCCCAGUUUUCCAGCAUCUUUGGCGUCCUAUAAUCUGGAGAUGCGUGUGGGUUAAUAGGUCCUUCAGGAUGGUUUUCUGGGUCGUCUGAUGACCCAAAGCCUUUUGGGGUUUCUGCAGGGCAGGAACUAGUUGACACGCCAUUGACAAGAACACCGCAGACUUGGGUUCCUAGUGCUUUAUUGCAGGAAACAUCUGAUGUCGAUCGGACCUGCAGAUGGUGAUAUGAAUCGUGGUAUCUGCUUCAUGCUUGCUGAGAUGUGAUGAGAACUAAGUGCGUCAUCCGUAGCACCGCUGUUAACAGUUUCUAACCUUUGUCCCUGGGAUGACCUACCCCACCUAGGUAUCUUAAUAUCUGGAUGAAGGGUGGAGGUUAGAAGAACUCCCACAGUAUCUGAACAGUGAGGCUCCCUGACUUCCCUGACUUUCACCUUUUAUUUUAUUGUUUCCUUGUCAGGGUCUCACACAGUUCCAGUUAGCCUCAGAAUUACUGUAAUCCUCCUGCCUCAGCCCUGAAGGGGACAGAGUCCCCUCCUAAGACACAGGCUUGACUCCUCCCACUGGGCUCUUUUAUUGACACAAGAAGCUCUGAAGGACCAGGCACAACUGUCACUUAAAGUUCCUUGCACUUUUUACCACCCAGUGUUUUUUAUUGUUAUUUGCCCAAGUCUGCAGUUCUGUGGUUUUGCCUUGCCAGCUGGCUGGGGUGUCAGAACGCAGCUGAUGUGCUGCUAAGGGGAGGUGAGACACAGUCCAAGAUGUUUUUCCGGGUGAAGACAGCAGGGGCUGGGACAGGUGUUGGUUCUCAAACUCCUGUGCACCCAGAUGCCACUGGGGACCACCAGGAGUGAGUUCUUCGGGACCUUGAUGAGCCUCGGAUGGGGCAGAAUCUGCUUUGCUUGGCAUAAGUACCGGAGUACAAAGGGGCUGGAAGAGGGGUCUGCCACGGGAGACUUAGGUAUAACUCUGUAUGACGAAGGCCAGCCUGAUGCUGUGGUCCUUGAUAAAGGACGGUCUUUGCUUGUCCAAACUGUUUUAUUCAUGGCGGGUGAGGAUGCAUAGGUCUUCCUCAGGGUGAAGCAGAGAUUAAAUACCAUUUGCAGGAAGGGAUGCUCACGAAGGAAGCUCAUUGGCUAAACACUGAGGGCCUGUCUAGAUACCUUAUCAGCAUGAGAACUCUAGGUUUUUACGCUACGUGACUGGUUGUCAUGGUCCUCUUAGUCACCACUAGUCAUGGUCACGGACUUCAGGACAGUAACCUGGUGGGGAGCUAGUUUGAAUUCCUGCCAUUCUCAGUUAUGAGAUUUUUUUCAGGUUUCUGAACUUGCUAUAGCCUUACCAGUUCUUCUGUCUGGUGGCACAGUCAUACGUGUCUUCGGCAGGGCUUCUGUUGCUGUGACAAAACACUGUGACCAAAAAGCAGGUUGGGGAGGACGAGGUUUAAUUGGCCUGAACUUCCAUAUUGCUGUUCAUCGUCAAAAUAAAGUCAGGACGGGACUCAAACAGGGCAGGAUCCUGAAGGCAGAAGCUGGUGCAGAGGCCAUGGAGGGUGCUGCUUACUGUCCCUGCUUCCCACGGCUUGCUCAGCCUGCUUCCUUCUAGAACCCAGGACCGCCAUCCCAGGGAUGGCACCACCCACAGUGGGCUGGGCCCUCCCCAUCAGUCACUAUGAGAAAAUGCCUGCAGCCUGAUCUUAUGAGGGCGUCUCCUCAACUGAGGUUCUGCCUCGCAGGUACCUCUAAUCUGUGUGUCAAGUAGCAGACGUCUGGGCAGCACAUCCCUUUAUGCCAUCAGCCCAGGGAGUGGUUUCUGUAACCUGGCUACUUCCUAGAUUCUGUGUGCUGUUCUGGAUGGAGCAGGCUGGCUGCAGCUGGACAGAUAGCUUUCCCUUUGGCUUCCUCCUUUUUCUGACCAUUUCAAGGAAGCCGUGUGGGCCCUUAGAGUGUUGUUGGUGUUGUUGUUUGCACAUAGCCUAUGUGUCCAUGAUUCACCAAAGAUUGGUAACCCAGACUCAAAUGGUAUGUAAACACAAAGAUUUUUAUUCUGCAGAAGUCCAGCAUGCUGGGGCCUCCCAUUACCAAGACAGACAACCAAGUGAGCUCACAAGACUGACUUAAAAUACAUUAGCAGAAUUCCGGGGUAGAUGACCUUUAUCUUGCUCCAUCUCUAGGGACAAUCUGGAACCAUUACUGGGGUAUGGGGGCUGGAAAACUGUUGCUGAGGCUGCUGACCCAUUGUCCUUGCCUCAGGCCAGGUGUAGGGCAGCUUCUGAGGCCUGGGCUUGCCUGGACUUGCUCAGUUCUUGGAAACAGAUUUAGGCUGUGUCUCCUGAACUGCCUGCCAUUUGGAAGCCUGUCAUGGAGUCAGCCUAGCCUUCUCAACAGUUACACAGAUACAUGUGAAGCUUAGAGGACAGCUUUGAGGAAUCAACUUUCUCCUGCCUUCACAUGGGUUUGAGGAAUUGGACUCAGAUUGAUAAGUUUUCUGGCAAGUAUCUUUACCCACGAGCCCCUGCUUUUAUUUUUGGAACAGGACCUUGCUAUAUAGUCCUGGCUGGCUUGGAACUUGACUUAUAGACCAAGCUGGUCUUGAACUUACAGCCAUCCUCCUGCCCCUGCUUUUUGGAUGUUGAGAUAACAGCCCAUGUCAUUGUUUUCCUCUUGUAGAUGCUAACAUAUGCUCGGUGCCCGAUGAAAACAUUCCCUAACUGACAGUACAAUGGCCCCUCAACUCUAUGAAUACACUAACUUGCCCACUGAACUGGGUAUCCAAAAUGGGAGGUUGAGCCAGCUGGGUGGCAUGCCUUUAAUCUCAGCUCUCAGGAGACAGAAGCAAGUAGAUCUCUCAGAUUGAGGCUACCUUGGUUUACAGAAUGAGUUCCAAGGUAUCCAGGCUACACAGAGAAACCCUGUCUCAAAAAAAAAAGUAAAAAACAAAACAACAAUAAAAUGGACUUGUUUACAACAAUGCCAAGGGCAUGCCGGGUAACAUCGUGGCUCUUACAGUAGGACAUUUCUUUGAGCAGAACCUAAGUCUGGUGUUCACAGCCUGUCCCUUCCUUUGUGGCUAAAGGAACACGUUUAGCCUUUAUUUUCUUUUUUAAAGACUUAUGUAUGUAUGUAUGUAUGUAUGUAUGUAUGUAUGUAUGUGUGUGUGUUCUAUUUACAGGUACACCUCCGUGCCAAAAGAGGGCAUCAGAUUUCUGUUAGAUGGUUGUGAGCCACCAUGUAGUUGCUGGGAGUUGAACUCAGGAUCUCUGGAAGACUUCUCUCCAGUCCUGGCCUUAAUUUUUGUUUUUGAAAAAUCAUUCAAGAUCUUUAUUAAAAGUGGCUUUUUUGAAAAAGUCAAGUCAUGGGGGCUGGAGAGAUGGCUCAGUGGUUAAGAGCACUGACUGCUCUUCCAGAGGAUCUGAGUUCAAUUCCCAGCAACCACAUGGUGGCUCACAACCAUCUGUAUUGAGAUCCCAUGCCCUCUUCUGGUGUUUCUAAAGACAGCUACAGUGUACUCAUAUCAAUAAAAAUUAAUUUAAAAAAGUUUUUUAAAAAAAGAAAAUUUGAAGUCAUAAAGUUUUACUAGAAAUUAAAAAUGGGAGUUCUUAAAAGAAAAGCACAUCUCAAUCAGAUAUGUGAAACAAUUUAAAAACCUUUACAGGUGUAUUGAGAAAAAUUGUGCCUUAAAAAAUAUGUUUAUUGGGGUUGGAGAGAUGGCUCAGCAGUUAAGAGCACUGACUGCUCUUCCAGAGGUCCUGAGUUCAAUUCCCAGCAACCACAUGGUGGCUCACAACCAUCUGACUCUUCUGGUGUGUCUGAAGACAGCUACAGUGUACUUACAUAUAAUAAAUAAAUAAAUCUUUAAAAAAUAUGUUUAUUAAUCCCAGCACUCAGGAGGCAGAGGCAGGCGAAUCUCUGAGUUCGAGGUCAGCCUGGUUUACAAAGCAAGUUCCAGGAUAACUACAGAUACACAGAAAAACCUCGUCUUGACAACACCCCUUCCCCCCAAAAAAGAAAUAUAUGUUUAUCCACUGGGUAUGGUGGCACUCAAGAGGCAGAGACAAGAUGAUCUCUGUGAGUUUAAGGUCAGGUAGGGAUGUAUACCAUGUCUCAAAGCAAAACAGAACUAUAUGUUUAUCAUCUAUGCUGGUUUUUGUCAGUAGCCAAGUCAGUUUCUCCAUUAGGAUUGAUGUGGAGGAAGGACCCCGCCCACUGUGGGAGGUGCCACUGCUGCACAGGGCUCCUGGGUUGUAGUAGUGUAAGGCUUGAAGUGAGUCUUAAAUACCAUGAGACCCCCCCAAGUGAGACAGGAGAACAGAGUUUGAUGCAAAUGCAAGAGUUUUAUUUUUCUGGUGCAUUGGGGUCGACCCUCAAUCAAGCCCCUCAUGGCAAGUGACUAGAAGGUGACCCCGAGUGGCUAUAACAAGCAGUUUUUAUACUUUUUAGGGGUACAGGUUACAUCAUCAAGGUUACAGUUUAAACUUAUCGACAAAGCAUAUUGACCUUUGAAUCCAUUGGCUAGCAAGCAUAUGACACACAUUUGAACUCUAUCUGGGACCAGAGAGUCAGGUGACUAUCAGUCAGUACAUUCUGCUGUUCCGAGAACUGUGGGCAGAGAAUGGAAUGGCCUAGCCUUGACCUGUAGCAGGAAGCUGAUACUUGGUCUGGUCUUGAUCUGAGGUGCUGGGUGUAAGGCUGGUGAAAGCCCCUAGGGUCCUUCAGUAGCACUGCACAGGGCUCCUGGGUUGUAGUAGCAAGCCACUCAUCAAGCCAGUAAAUAAACGUUCUUCUGCGCUCUGCUGCAGUUCCUGCUUCCAGGUUCCUGCCCUGAUGUCCGUGCGGUGGAGUUAGACUUACGAGUUGUAAGUGGAGAUCAACGCUGUAAGCUGAGAUCAACACUCUCCUCAGGUUGCUUUUGGUCACAGUGUUCACAGCCACAGGAAAGAAACUAGAGCAGAAUUUGGGAAAAGGACCAUAGGAGAGCAAUGCAGGGGGGCCCUGCCUGUGAGGUUCUAAGGGCAGUGCUUCAAAACCUCCCUAAAGCUACAGCCCUUUAAUACAGCCCUUCAUGUUGCUGUGACCCUCCACCCAUAUGAUUACUUCUGUUGUAACUUUGCUGCUCUCAUGAAUCAUAAUGCAAUUUUUUUUUCAAAUAGAAGUUUUGGCAGGGGUCUUGACCCACAGGUUGAGAAGCGCUGCUUUAGAGGGAAGCCAAGACCAGGAAAACAAGCCAGGGCCUGCUCAUUGGUGACUUAGAUUAAGGCUCACUGGGGCUGUGGAUAAAGCACUAAGUCAGUUGUGAUUGAGAAGAGACCAGCGUCAUUGAGGCAAUAUCUUCUGGGAAGUAUUUCCUGAGGGUCAGCUGUGGCCCAGUGGAGGGAGGAGAGGGCAAGGCUGCAUCUCAAGCUAGAAUCAGAAAUGUGUAAGAGUCUCCCUCAUGCUACUGUUUUUGAGAAUACAGUGGGGGUUUUCUUAGUUACUUUUCUGUUAUUUUGUGUCUUUGUGGGUUUUUUGUUUGUUUGUUUUUGUCUGAGACAGUGUCUCACUAUGUAGCUCUGGCCAUCCUGGAACACACAGAGAUCCCCCUGCCUCUGCUUCCCUGGUGCUGGGAUUAAAGGCAUGUGCCACCACACCCAGCUAAAUAUUUGAAUUUUUUAAAAGUCUGUGGGACUUCUAAAAUGAUAUGUUUGGUGUUAAUAUUAACAUGAUCUUGGUACAAGCAAGGAAAGAAAUGUUACGGUCUAACAGUGAUGCUUUGUGUGUGUGACGUUGGUUGGCUUAAUUAAAAACUAGAGUCACCUAGGAAGGAGGAGCCUCAGUUGAAUCGCCUUCAUCCGAUUAGCCAGCCAAUAUGUGUGUGGAGCAUUCUCUUGAUUGACAUCAGAGGGUCCAGCCCACUCAGGGCAGGUGGUCCUGGGUGGGCUGGAUAACUAAGCAUGAGGUGUAAGCCAGUGAGUAGGAUCCCUCCAUGACCUUUGCCUCAGUUCCUGCCUGGAGCUCCUGCCCUGACUUCUCUCAGUUUGGUGGAGUAUGACUUCAGAGUUAUAAGAUUAAGCAAACCCCUUCUUCUCCAAGAUGUGUUGGUCACGGUGUACAGCACAGCAACAGGAAAGCAGUAGACCAUCACCAUCGAAAAGAGAUGUUGUAGCAGGACUUUGCCUGUGUAGUAGGUUCCUCUUUCUUCUCCCCCUUCUCCACCCUCUUUCCAACCCUUUUAACCCUCUAACAAUAGAUAGGAGAGAGAAAAAGAUAGAGCGGAAGGAGGGCAACAUUAUCCUUAGACACUUCCUGCUGACAAGUCCCUUGGGGCAAGUUUGAUUUUUGCCAGCAGGAUAUCCAAUUUCUUCUUGUUUCUUCAUUGCCUACAACUAUUUAACAAACCAAAACCAAUCAACAACCCACCCUGCCUCUCAGGGCCCUAGCAUUUAUAUCCCCUCUAAAAGUCCCCAGAAUUCCAACAUCACUCCGUGGAAGAAAUUAUUUGUCACUGGCAAUAUCGUGCCUCUGCUAGAGCCCACGGCAAGUCAUAGUCAGCUGCUGUGGACAAUCUGAAGCAGCCCCAUAUCCCACACCUGGGAUUAAAAUGAAAACAUAUUCUUAUAAUAUUUCUGUUUUGUACUUUUUUUUUAAAUGAACCCAAAACUCCAACAUUGUCACUAUAAGAUGUCUUUGGUAAAAAUAAUGAAAACCCUGUGCUGUGUAGAGAUGUCGAUAGUUCUCACGCACCCGGUCAAUGAGGCAAAAAGCAAGCACUGAAGGUUUUCUACCCCAGUCUUCUGUUCAUUUCUUACUGCUGGGAUUGCACACGUAUUUCUUCUUGGAUUACUAAAUCAGAUGAUGGCUGAGGUGUCUGGCCAGCUUUGUCCUGCUCAGCGGCGGGGUUGUGGGGAGGGGUCAGAGGCUCAGCUGGUGGAACAGCAGCUUUUGUCUGAACCGUCUUGUUCCCUGGAUCUGUGCGGUUGAAGUUGUUGAUGCUGACGUUGGGCCCGUACUUUCAUGCCAUCCUCUCUAGGCUGUCUUUAGCAGAGGACUUUGCGGGAUUUGUGGUCUGUAACUGUAUAUACACACAUGCACCGUCUCGCUGAUGUACGCUUUUGGCCUGCACUGUGGCUGUUAGCAGCCAUCCUACAUCCAGUGUAGGGGGUGGAAACUGGUCUGUGCUUUUUUCAUACAUUAUGGUGGGCUGGCGUUGUUGGGUCUGGCCUUCAGGCGUUCUCUACCAUCCCCUCCCCAACUGUUGGGGUAGUCUGCUUGUGACCUUGUGAAGAGCCCCUAGGAAGCAGAUGGUGUCUACAGUGGUUCUCUUUGCUGUGUGUACAGCUGUGGAGUGUCCCUCCAUGAGGGCUUAUAACAUUGGCUGCCUGUGAACUCAUUUCCACUCCUGUACCUUGGAGGUACUUCCUGGGGCUGUCAGUUUUUGUUGGUUUUCAGACCGGGUUUCACUGUGUCGACCAGGCUGGCCUGAAACUAGUAGAGAUCCACCUACCUGUGCCUCCUAAGUGCUAGGAUCGAAGGGGAGUGCCAGCAUGUGCAGCCUUCAUGUUUCUUCUUACCUCAGACCGUUCUAUUGUUCCCAAAACCUUUUGUCCCUGUCACCAGACACUGCAGACUUCAGGCUACGUGGGCCAGUGCCGCUUGCCACGGUAGGCUUGGGAUUGGAACUGGUGUUAGCUGGUGGCUGCUUGGUGACAUCUUUGCCACUCAUGGCAGUGGUGAUGGUGUUUGCAGCUGGCUGUGGCAGCUGCAGCUCCUCCAGGGUUGCUAUGGCACCACGCUAGCAGCAUUCUGGCUGCCCCGACUCGGGGGAUUCUCUCUCCACUCCCAUGACUGAUCCAAAUGCCAUCCUUUCUGUCUUAAAGUGUUGAACGUUUUGCUUCCAUGUAUGUAUUGCGUGACAUGUGUGCCAGAUGCCACCAGUCAGACGAACAGGUUGGAUCCCUUAGAACUGGAGUUACAGAUGGUUGCGAGGUGUCAUGUGGGUGCUGGGGAACAGAAACUGGGUUGUCUGGGGGGAGCUGCCAGUGCACUCUAUCGAUGAGCCAACUACCCACUCCCACCUCUCCUUUCUAAACUCAUCCUUUUCUUCCUUCCCUCCUUCCCUUCAUUCCUUUGUACUAUCUGAAACCGGCCUUGAACUCCCUGGCUUGCUCACAAGUCUCUCUCCUCAGCCCCUUGAGUGCUGGAGUCUAGAUAUGUGCCGCACCAGGCAGACUCCAUGUGUGCCUUUUUGAGUAUUUUGUUUUUUAGUUUUAUGGCGUUUAUUCAUUAUGCUCGUAGCCAGCUCAGCACAGAUGCGAAGCCUCCGCGCACUUUCCUUGGAGAUGCUGCAGGACCUGUGGGCGGGCUGCACUUGCAUCAGCACCUAGCUAGCAUCAGAAGGCAGUGCAGUGUGUGGGUGGACUGGGAAAAGCAGCUUCUCCUGACUUCAUAUUGCUUUCGCACUGUGGAAAAGCAGAGCAACCACAAAUGGAGCAUCUUAGAUGGGAACUGGCUGUAGGUACCCUUGGCCCCACCCCCACCCACCUAGCUCUGCACAGGUCAGGAACUGCAGGCUGCCCCUCCAGUCUGGAACUUAUGGUGAGUUCACCAAGAUAAUUGAACUGACCUGGUUUCUGGGAGGUCUUGAGCUGCCUUCUGGCCCUAUUCCUCUAAGAUCCUGAAUCUUCCUCCGCUACCAGCAGGCUGGAACUAGGAGGAACACACAGCUUUACAGAGGCUGGCUUCCCCUGUGUGCUUUUUCUUUCUGGUCAGAAAUAUGUGCUUGGAGUCCUACUGGAUGUAUGUGGCUAGUGAAUUUGGCCACCGAGACAGAGCACUCCAUCCCAGAAUAAUUGCAUCUCUAGAUGUCUGCUCCCUUUCCCCGAAUCUGUUACCUCUACAUCAUGACUUUCCUCAGUAAGGACGGUGGCUUUCUCAGAGCUUCCAAGAGCCAAGCCUGUUGUUACUGGUUGCUGGGGGCUCUGCCAAGGUGGCAAGUUUUGUAUCGGAGCAGAGGGCUACUACACCUCUAAGCUCUCCCUUCCUCCAAUUUAGCAAUGAUGGUCCUUCAGACUGGCUCCUACAGGCAAUGCCCUGCAGUGCCUUGUUUCCCUUCUCGUUUCUAGGCCUAGCAGUUCAUUUUCUGUUCCUCUAACAAAAUGCUGUGGCUGAAUAGUUUAGUUAUGAGAGGUUUAUUAUCUAGGCAUAGUGGUGUGUGUCUGUAAUUUCAGCAGUCAGGAGUGCUGAAGCAGGGGGAUCAUUCUUGUGUAUAAAGGUGGCUUUGGAGUGGUGUGAGUAGUACAGAUUACACUUUUAGUCUCAGCGCUCUUGGGAGGCAGAUACAGGUGGAUCUCUGAAUUCGAGGCCAGCCUGGUCUGUCUACAGAGCAAGGUCCAGGACUAUACAGAGAAACCUAUCUCAGAACAACAAAGCAUUCGGAUUUCACAUUGGGUCUUAGUUGGCUCCUAAUUAUUUUUUUCAGUGCACUGUUGGCUUUGUGUCAGCCCCAGCUCCCCGUUCCCACUCACUUUGACUUCCUGGAGGCCUAGAAUGUGUUCUGUCUCCAUAUGUCUCGGUCUGACCACAGUGAGAGGGCUGCUCCUUUGCAGCAUGCCUGGCUCUCCCUGUCCUCACGGCCACCAGCGAGGGAGCUGGUGACAAGACAUGCAGAGAGAGAGCAGAGCCAAAUCAGAAACCCACAGCUGUCAAAUGUCUCCAUGGAAGUCAAACACACUUGUGAUUUCCAUACUAGUAAAAUAUUUUUAUUAUUUUUAUAACACAAGGAAAGUAAAGAUUUCUUUUUGGUGUAUACCAGAGCUAAGGGAAGCAGAAUAAAGGGAUUAAUAGGACUUUUAUACACUUUUGAUGAUCAUAAAAAGUUAACAAUACCAACUGCUUGCCAUAAAACUUAUCAUAGCUCCAAACACAUAUAAAGGAUCGGUUUUAAAAUCUAUAAAAGUAAAAAAUAUACAGUUGGACGCUCUAACACUUAUUCCAUCUUCAGUAUAAAAUUGUAAACAUUUAUUUACACAAAGCACAUGUGUAUAAGAGAGUCUGAGCACCCUUUUCUUCUUGAGUCGUGGCUCUGAGAAGAUGGGAGGAAGCAGGUUACCUCUCCCCAGCUUCUCAAAGCCAGACUCAUAAAUAAAGCCGUGGGCAGCUCUGGG